rnacentral:lncRNA from 1 species
UUUUAGCGGCGACAUCUAAAAAGUCGCCGCUAAAAGUCUUAAUCCGGGACAAGGGAUUUAGAAUUGAUCUGGACCGUUCUUUACUGAACUAAUCGAAGGGCUAGGGUUUAUCCCUACAUAAAACAUGUGUAAAAAGGCUCACAUCUGUUUUGGCGGCAUUUUUCCCUCUUCCCUCCAAGAUGAAAUCUUCACACACCCCUGGAGGACAACCUUGAAUCUGCCGGAGAGCCUCACCACCUUCAAUCUGCCAUAGCACCUCCAUCUCGUCUUGCUGAUUGUCCGACGCCCUUUGAAAACGGGAAUGGUGUGCAAUGUCGGUCAACAUGUCAUGUCACCGUUAACGCCCCAAAUGUUAGAGUACAUCCAACGCCCAUUUAUUAACACAAGGAAGGAGUGGUGUGCAAUGCCGGUCAACAUAUCAUGUCACCGUUAACACCAUAAAUGUUAGAGUACAUCCAAAGGCGUUAUAAGAACUUGUGGAAAAAAUCAUUAUGAGAACAAGUACCUAGCAAGCAUGAAACAAUAGUUUUUGGUCCUAACCUUAUUAAGAGCUACCUAAACUAAACCCAAGAUUGCUUCUUGCAUUGAACCGUUGCAACAACAGAACAGAAUUCAAUACAACAACCUCGAUUGGCUUAUUAUAUAGAAAUAAGGACCGCAAUUACAAACACGAUUAGCAUGAAGGGGCGCCAAGAUUUGAGGCAAGCCGUAACAGGUCACUGAAAACACCACCAGCUGUUACUUCUGCUCCGGCUCCCGGACCGCGAACGAUUAGAGGUUG